GCGGUCGCCUCCCAAAAGGUAACGGAGGCGCUCAAAGGUUCUCUCAGUACGGUCGGAAAUCGUACGUAGAGUGUAAAGGCAAAAGAGAGCUUGAUUGCAAGACAUACAGGUCGAGCAAGGAUGAAAAUCGGACUUAGUGAUCCGGUGGUUCUGCGUGGAAGGGCCAUCGCUCAACGGAUAAAAGCUACCCUGGGGAUAACAGGCUUAUCUCCCCCAAGAGUCCACAUCGACGGGGAGGUUUGGCACCUCGAUGUCGGCUCAUCACAUCCUGGGGCUGUAGUAGGUCCCAAGGGUUGGGCUGUUCGCCCAUUAAAGUGGUACGCGAGCUGGGUUCAGAACGUCGUGGGACAGUUCGGUCCCUAUCCGUCGCAGGCGUAGGAAAUUUGAGAAGACCUGUCCUUAGUACGAGAGGACCGGGAUGGACGUACCUCUGGUGUACCAGUUGUUCUGCC
rnacentral:rRNA from 1 species